UACGUAGGGCGCGAGCGUUGUCCGGAAUUAUUGGGCGUAAAGAGCUCGUAGGCGGCCGGUUGCGUCUGCUGUGAAAUCCCGGGGCUUAACCCCGGGCGUGCAGUGGAUACGGGCCGGCUGGAGGCAGGCAGGGGAGAAUGGAAUUCCCGGUGUAGCGGUGAAAUGCGCAGAUAUCGGGAGGAACACCGGUGGCGAAGGCGGGUCUCUGGACAGUUCCUGACACUGAGGCACGAAGGCCAGGGGAGCAAACGGG
rnacentral:rRNA from 1 species